rnacentral:tRNA from 1 species
UGGGGAGUACUCGUAAGUGAUUGAUAUUUUUUGCUUGGGGUGCAAGAGGUCCCGGGUUCAAAUCCCGGCGUCCCGACCA